rnacentral:misc_RNA from 1 species
UGUGCAACCCGAAAGAUAGUAGUGAGGGGCUCGAUGCGAUUUCGAUACUCGUCUUAGAGACGGCUGCUCGAGAAAAAUUGCAAAAGUGUGGCGCAUAAAACGAAGUGAAUAAUUCCGAAAAUAAAUCAUCUGGAUUCGCGUAAGAAAUCUGCACGUGCGAGACAUCACGGAAGCACAAUUUACAGAUUUACGAUCGAAGUGAGAUGGUGACAUCAAUGAAAUAUAAUAGCGUCAAGGAUAUCCUGCACUUCGCGCUCUGAGGCGAUUAAUACACAACGAAUUUUUCUGGCGCAAACACGACGACGAGAAGCAAAAAUCGAUCGAGCAAAGAGGAUAUUUACGUCAUUAAACGAAGCGCGAGCACGUCGAGGCCAUUUUCUUUAUCAGCCACGUAGAAAUCCCUUAUCAUCGUACAUUAAAAAAUGUAUAUGUGUGUAGGUUAUUUUCGUAGAGCUCCCUGUGAUGAGGGAACGGUUUACCUUGCCGUGUACAAGCGCACAUCCGUGCGGUGUAUAUCUAGAUGUGUACGGCGCGUAUAAAGUCCUGAGAUCUCUUAUCAGCGGUCGGAAGGAGGGGAAGUUUGGGGGCGGAGGGUUGUUGUCAUGGUUACAAAGCACACAUCGGGGUAUGCUGAUAAGCGGAUCAGAUGUUCACGGAAUGCAUUUCUUCACGAAAUUUCUCGCAUGCGAUGACAUCGCUGCAAUUCGAUAGAAAUUUCUUUCUAUGGAAAAAUCUUGAACCCAUUUUAAAUUCACCCUAAAAGGUAUUUACAAGACUUAUCCUAGCAUUAUUAUAAUUAUAAUUGCAUAUUCCAAUUUGCAAUUAUAUAUUUAUAUUGAUAUGAAUAUAUAUAUACAUAUUACUAAUAACACACGUACAUAUUAUAUAUGAAUCGCUCAAACACCAAAGACUCUAUCAAUUUAUUUUAUUUAUGAAAAGUUAGGGCACCGAUUAUGUGCUUUGAUACUAAAAUUUGAAAAAUUACAAAAAA